rnacentral:rRNA from 1 species
UACGGGGGGGCAAGCGUUGUUCGGAAUUACUGGGCGUAAAGGGCUCGUAGGCGGCCAACUAAGUCGGAUGUGAAAUCCCCAGGCUUAACCUGGGAACUGCAUCCGAUACUGGAUGGCUUGAAUCCGGGAGAGGGAUGCGGAAUUCCAGGUGUAGCGGUGAAAUGCGUAGAUAUCUGGAGGAACACCGGUGGCGAAGGCGGCGAUCCUG